ACGCACGCUGGCGGCGUGCUUCACACAUGCCAGUCGAACGGAAAGGCCCUGCUUUUGUGGGGUGCUCGAGUGGCGAACGGGUGAGUAACACGUGAGUAACCUGCCCUUGACUUUGGGAUAACUUCAGGAAACUGGGGCUAAUACCGGAUAGGAGCUCCUGCUGCAUGGUGGGGGUUGGAAAGUUUCGGCGGUUGGGGAUGGACUCGCGGCUUAUCAGCUUGUUGGUGGGGUAGUGGCUUACCAAGGCUUUGACGGGUAGCCGGCCUGAGAGGGUGACCGGCCACAUUGGGACUGAGAUACGGCCCAGACUCCUACGGGAGGCAGCAGUGGGGAAUAUUGCACAAUGGGCGGAAGCCUGAUGCAGUAACGCCGCGUGCGGGAUGACGGCCUUCGGGUUGUAAACCGCUUUCGCCUGUGACGAAGCGUGAGUGACGGUAAUGGGUAAAGAAGCACCGGCUAACUACGUG
rnacentral:rRNA from 1 species